rnacentral:lncRNA from 1 species
UUAAAGUUGUGUAUUAAGGUGUCUAUAAGUGAUCUGGGUUGAUAGAUCAUGGAUCUAUAACAUCUAGAUGCACGGAAAUCAAGUUUUCAAAAUUGACCAAGAACCCUAAUUUUAAGGCCUGACAGUCAUAUGUCAGCACCUCUAGAUCCGUGUGUGUUCGAUGUUUUCUGUGUUUUAUGUUUUGAAUCUAUUCUAUGCCAUGUGGACUACUAUAUCUGGAACUGGAAUCAUGGACAUAUCAUUUCUAGAUCGCUUGUUAUAGGCAGUCAACGGUCAUUGACCGAUAAACGAUAUCUGUAACAAACCCUAAGUAUAUAUUAAGAACGUCAACGUUCGGUUAGAAAACCCUAGUGAAUUAUAAGAAACCCUAGAAACCUGUUCUGGAAACUCUUAAUUUUAGUUCCGGGAAUCCGAAACCAUAAUUCAGAAUUUUAAAACCCGAAUAUGGGAACUUAAAGGAUAAUUAUAAUGCUCAAGUGCUAUUAAUUAUAAUAUUAAUUAGUGUAAAACUUAAUUAUUUAAUAAACCCUAAUUUCAAAAUUUUAAACCCUAAUUUAGGGAUUUGAAACCCUAAUUUAUAAAUAGGGAAACCCUAAGUGUUAAUUUAAUACUUUUAAUGUUAAUUAGGAAAUAUUAAUUCUAAUUUUUAAGUUAUAGUAAUUAGAAAACCCUAAUAUCAUUAGGAAAUCUAAUUUUGAAAUUGGAAAUAUUAUUUUUCUGAAUAAAAUCCUAAUUCAUGGGUUAUGAACCGUAAUGACCAUUUUGUCCUUAAUUGCUUCAUUAGCAAAUUUUAAUUAGGAAAUACUAAUCCUGAUUAGCAAGAUUUAAUUUAUGAUUAAGAAAUUUUAAUAUAAUUAGAAAAUUCUAAUUGUAAUUUAGAAAUAUUAUUUUUCUAUUUUUAAAACCAAAAUUCAGAAAUCUUAGAAAUUAAAUUACAAAGUUAAGGGUUAUACCCUAAACCCUAAGGAUUCAAACCCUAAACCCUAAGGGUUUGGGACAAAUGACCAUGUUGCCAUUAAAAUAAAAAUCAAUUGACUAAAGUGCCCUUGGUUGUAUUAUUGAAGGUUGCUUGUAGAUGUAGCCAUAAUUUAGGAGUGGGUGACCAAAUAAUAUCUAGCAUAUGACUUAUAUCUAUUGUAGCAGCCGAAAUCAUCAAACUCAUAGCUACAUGUCAACAAUUACAGAGAUUAAAGAGAGAGAAAAAGCCACUUUUAUUUCUCAUUUCUCCCAAGACCUUAUUUCUCUAUAUUUUGCGAAUGGUAAUGGGAAUGAGAUAGUGUGAUAAGUUAAGCCAAGAAUGCUUCUCAGCUUAGCCGGAACAGAUAACAAAGGUCAGAAUCCAAGAAUCAAAGUCUUAAGAGGUAUAAACCCUAAAAAUUUAGAAAUCAGUGAUUUGAUGUUAAAUGUUGUUAAUGAUUGGUUAAAGUUGUGUAUUAAGGUGUCUAUAAGUGAUCUGGGUUGAUAGAUCAUGGAUCUAUAACAUCUAGAGGCACGAAAAUCAAGUUUUCAAAACUGACCAAGAACCCUAAUUUUAAGGCCUGACAGUCAUAUGUCAGUGCCUCUAGAUCCGUGUGUGUUAGAUGUUUUCUGUGUUUUAUAUUUUGAAUCUAUUCUAUGCCAUAUGGACUACCAUCUGGAACUGGAAUCAUGGACAUAUCAUUUCUAGAUCGCUUGUUAUAGGCAGUCAAAGGUCGUUGACCGAUAAACGAUAUCUGUAACAAACCCUAAGUAUAUAUUAAGAACGUCAACCUUCGGUUAGAAAACCCUAGUGAAUUAUAAGAAACCCUAGAAACCGGUUCUAGAAAUCUUAAUUUCAGUUUCGGGAAUCCAUAACCCUAAUUCAGAAUUUAAAACCCUAAUAUUAGAACUUAAAGGAUAAUUAUAAUGCUCAAGUGCUAUUAAUUAUAAAUAUUUAUUAGGGUAAAACUUAAUUAUUUAAUAAACCCUAAUUUCAAAAAUUUAAACCCUAAUUUAGGGAUUUAAAACCCUAAUUUAUAAACAGGGAAACCCUAAGUGUUAAUUUAAUAAUUUUAAUGUUAAUUAGGAAAUAUUAAUUCUAAUUUUCAAGUAAUAGUAAUUAGAAAAUCCUAAUAUCAUUAGGAAAUCUAAUUUCGAAAUUGGAAAUAAUAUUUUUCUGAAUAAAACCCUAAUUCAUGGGUUAUGAACCGUAAUGACCAUUUUGUCCUUAAUUGCUUCAAUAGCAAAUUUUAAUUAGGAAAUACUAAUCCUGAUUAGCAAGAUUUAAUUUAUGAUUAAGAAAUUUUAAUAUAAUUAGAAAAUUCUAAUUGUAAUUUAGAAAUAUUAUUUUUCUAUUUUUAAAACUGAAACUCAGAAAUCUUAGAAAUCAAAUUGCAAAGUUAAGGGUUAUACCCUAAACCCUAAGGAUUCAAACCCUAAACCCUAAGGGUUUGGGAUAAAUGACCAUAUUGCCAUUAAAAUAAAAAUCAAUUGACUAAAGUGCUCUUGGUUGUAUUAUUGAAGGUUGCUUGUAGAUCUAGCCAUAAUUUAGGAGUGGGUGACCAAAUAAUAUCUAGCAUGUGACUUAUAUCUAUUGUACUAGCCGAAAUCGUCAAAAUCAUAGCAACAUGUCAACCAUUACAGAGAUUAAAGAGAGAGCAAAAGCCACUUUUAUUUCUCAUUUCUCCCAAGACCUUCUUUCUCUAUAUUUCGGGAAUGGGAAUGAGAUAGAGUGAUAAGAUAAACCAAAAAUACUUCUCAGCUUUGCCGGAACAGAUAACAAAGGUCAGAAUCCAAGAAUCAAAGUCUCAAGAGGUAUAAACCAUGAAAAUUUAGAAAUCAGUUAUUUGAUGUUAAAUGUUGUUAAUGAUUGGUUAAAGUUGUGUAUUAAGGCGUCUAUAAGUGAUCUGGGUUGAUAGAUCAUGGAUCUAUAACAUCUAGAUGCACGAAAAUCAAGUUUUCAAAACUGACCAAGAACCCUAAUUUUAAGGCCUGACAGUCAUAUGUCAGUGCCUCUAGAUCCGUGUGUGUUAGAUGUUUUCUAUGUUUUAUAUUUUGAAUCUAUUCUAUGCCAUGUGGACUACCAUCUGGAACUGGAAUCAUGGACAUAUCAUUUCUAGAUCGCUUGUUAUAGGCAGUCAAAGAUCGUUGACCGAUAAACGAUAUCUAUACCAAACCCUAAGUAUAUAUUAAGAACGUCAACGUUCGGUUAGAAAACCCUAGUAAAUUAUAAAAAACCCAAGAAACCGGUUCUUGAAACCCUAAUUUCAGUUCCGAGAAUCCGAAACCCUAAUUCAGAAUUUUAAACCCAAAUAUGGGAACUUAAAGGAUAAUUAUAAUGCUCAAGUGCUAUUAAUUAUAAUAUUUAUUGGGGUAAAACUUAAUUAUUUAGUAAACCCUAAUUUCAAAUUUUAAAAACCUAAUUUAGGGAUUUGAAACCCUAAUUUAUAAAUAGGGAAACCCUAAGUGUUAAUUUAAUAAUUUUAAUGUUAAUUACGAAAUAUUAAUUCUAAUUUUCAAGUUAUAGUAAUUAGAAAACCCUUAUAUCAUUAGGAAAUCUAAUUUUGAAAUUAGAAAUAAUUAUUUUUCUGAAUAAAACCCUAAUUCGUGGGUUAUGAACCGUAAUAACCAUUUUGUCCUUAAUUGCUUAAUAAGCAAAUUUUAAUUAGGAAAUAUUAAUCCUGAUUAGCAAGAUUUAAUUUAUGAUUAAGAAAUUUUAAUAUAAUUAGAAAAUUCUAAUUGUAAUUUAGAAAUAUUAUUUUUCUAUUUUUAAAACCGAAACUCGAAAAUCCUAGAAAUUAAAAUGCAAAGUUAAGGGUUAUACCCUAAACCCUAAUGAUUCAAACCUUAAACCUUAAGGGUUUGGGACAAAUGACCAUAUUGCCAUUAAAAUAAAAAUCAAUUGACUAAAGUGCUUUUGGUUGUAUUAUUGAAGGUUUCCUAAGUAUAUAUUAAGAACGUCAACCUUCGGUUAGAAAACCCUAGUGAAUUAUAAGAAACCCUAGAAACCGGUUCUAGAAAUCUUAAUUUCAUUUUCGGGAAUCCGUAACCCUAAUUCAGAAUUUAAAACCCUAAUAUUGGAACUUAAAGGAUAAUUAUAAUGCUCAAGUGCUAUUAAUUAUAAUAUUUAUUAGGGUAAAACUUAAUUAUUUAAUAAACCCUAAUUUCAAAAUUUAAACCCUAAUUUAGGGAUUUAAAACCCUAAUUUAUAAACAGGGAAACCCUAAGUGUUAAUUUAAUAAUUUUAAUGUUAAUUAGGAAAUAUUAAUUCUAAUUUUCAAGUAAUAGUAAUUAGAAAAUCCUAAUAUCAUUAGGAAAUCUAAUUUCGAAAUUGGAAAUAUUAUUUUUCUGAAUAAAACCCUAAUUCAUGGGUUAUGAACCGUAAUUACCAUUUUGUCCUUAAUUGCUUCAUUAGCAAAUUUUAAUUAGGAAAUACUAAUCCUGAUUAGCAAGAUUUAAUUUAUGAUUGAGAAAUUUUAAUAUAAUUAGAAAAUUUUAAUUGUAAUUUAGAAAUAUUAUUUUUCUAUUUUUAAAACUGAAACUCAGAAAUCUUAGAAAUUAAAUUGCAAAGUUAAGGGUUAUACCCUAAACCCUAAGGAUUCAAACCCUAAACCCUAAGGGUUUGGGACAAAUGACCAUAUUGCCAUUAAAAUAAAAAUCAAUUGACUAAAGUGCUCUUGGUUGUAUUAUUGAAUGUUUCUUGUAGAUCCAGCCAUAAUUUAGGAGUGGGUGACCAAAUAAUAUCUAGCAUGUGACUUCUAUUUAUUGUACCAGCCGAAAUCAUCAAAAUCAUAGCAACAUGUCAACAAUUACCGAGAUUAAAGAGAGAAAAAGCCACUUUUAUUUCUCAUUUCUCCCAAGACCUUCUUUCUCUAUAUUUCGGGAAUGGGAAUGAGAUAGAGUGAUAAGAUAAACCAAGAAUACUUCUCAGCUAAGCCGGAACAGAUAACAAAGGUCAGAAUCCAAGAAUCAAAGUCUCAAGAGGUAUAAACCAUGAAAAUUUAGAAAUUAGUUAUUUGAUGUUAAAUGUUGUUAAUGAUUGGUUAAAGUUGUGUAUUAAGGUGUCUAUAAGUGAUCUGGGUUGAUAGAUCAUGGAUCUAUAACAUCUAGAUGCACGAAAAUCAAGUUUUCAAAACUGACCAAGAACCCUAAUUUUAAGGCCUGACAGUCAUAUGUCAGUGCCUCUAGAUCUGUGUGUGUUAGACGUUUUCUGUGUUUUAUAUUUUGAAUCUAUUCUAUGCCAUGUGGACUACCAUCUGGAACUGGAAUCAUGGACAUAUCAUUUCUAGAUCGCUUGUUAUAGGCAGUCAAAGGUCGUUGACCGAUAAACGAUAUCUGUAACAAACCCUAAGUAUAU